AUACGCGCGAGCAACCUGCCCUCGAUGGGGAAUAACAUCGAGAAAUCGGUGCUAAUACCGCAUAAUAUGGAGAGACCGCAUGAUCUUUCCAUCAAAGGAUUUAUUCGCUUGAGGAUGGGCUCGCGUCCGAUUAGGUAGUUGGUGAGGUAACGGCCCACCAAGCCUGCGAUCGGUAGCCGAACUGAGAGGUUGAUCGGCCACAUUGGGACUGAGACACGGCCCAGACUCCUACGGGAGGCAGCAGUGGGGAAUAUUGGGCAAUGGGCGAAAGCCCUGACCCAGCAACGCCGCGUGAAGGAUGAAGGUCUUCGGAUUGUAAACUUCUUUGAUCGGGGAAGAAAUAAAUGACCUACCCGAAGAACAAGCCACGGCUAACUACGUGCCAGCCGCGGC
rnacentral:rRNA from 1 species